UACGGGGGGGGCAAGCGUUGUUCGGAAUUACUGGGCGUAAAGGGCUCGUAGGUGGCCAACUAAGUCAGAUGUGAAAGCCCCCGGCUCAACCGGGGAAUGGCAUCGGAUACAGCCUGGCUUGAGGACGGUUGGGGUGAGUGGAACUCCUGGUGGAGCGGUGAGAUGCGUAGAUAUCAGGAGGAACACCGGUGGCGAAAGCGGCUCACUGGACCGUUACUGACGCUGAGGUGCGAAAGCUAGGGGAGCAAACGGG
rnacentral:rRNA from 1 species